AUGGACUUUAAGCUAAAGAACAAAUACUUAGUCAGACUUGAACAAAUCACUCAAAUUUUGAAAGAUGGAAUAAGAGACAUGACUUAAUUUUUACAAGGGGCUGCCCCAGGAGGAAGGAAUGAAUGAGGGUAGGAGGAAGCAAACAUCUGGAAGCUUGUCCUGUGGGGCUGGGCUGAGACCCUGGCUCUCUAAGCCUUGUGACUCUGGUUCACGGUUCAUCUCUGGCCUGCUCUGUAAAGACACGGCUCUUUCCUUCUCUUCACCUUGAAAUAAAGACCAAGAGAC
rnacentral:lncRNA from 1 species